GAGGGGUACAUAGAACACAAAGAACUGCUAACUCCUUGUCCUAGGACUAACCCCCUAGACCCCUUAC
rnacentral:tRNA from 1 species